rnacentral:lncRNA from 1 species
GAAGCCAUGGUUAGGGUUUUCAAGCUUCUAAGCUCGAUUGUAAGUCCGUUCUAACCCCGUUUUUAAUGUUCUUUACGUUUUUAGAGUAUCGGUAACUUGAUUUAGCUUAUUCUAGCAAUAAUUUAACCUAGGUUUUAUAUUUGGAAAAAUACCCAUAGGUGUAAUGUGUUUAUUUUGAUGUUUUAUGGUAGAAUAUGAAGCUAGAAAUUAUGUUAAACAACUUUUACUAAGCGAUUUUAAGUGAAAACGAGUAAAACGACAUAAUCUGUAAAAAUACCUAAUAUUCAUAAGUAAGUGUUAGAGUGGGAAUUUGAUGUUGCCAUAGAAGAGAAAAAAUGUUCAGCAUGUCAUAAAACAUAAUAAUAAGAGAUGAAUUUUAAUUUCCGAGCUUUAGGGCAAAAGUGUAAAUAUGCAAAAGUUUAGGGGCAAAAUCGUAAUUUUGCCAAAUUUUGAGUCAAGGACUGUUUUGAUGAAUGUGAGUGUUAAAUAAUUUAAAUGUGUCAUUAUAAGUCAAGAAAGACAAAGAAUUGACUUUGAUUAGUGAAAAAGAAAAGUGAGAAAAAGUGAGAAAUUCCCAGUUGAACCUUCGGAAAAAACAAGGAUACAAAUGAAGUGAUAGAAAUGAUCACAUAUGUGGCAUGGACUGUGUGUAGGCCACUAUGUGAAAGUGAGUGAUGGUCACGUGUGUAGUACUAUGUGCAGGCUACUACGUGUACCAGAAAGAUAGGUCGCAUGUGUAGUACUAUGUGCAGGCUACUAUGCGUACCGGAUAGCUUCGAUCACGUGUGUACUAUGUGCAGGCUUCUACGUGUAUCAGAUAGUGAUGGUCACAUGUGUAGUACUAUGUGUAGGCUACUAUGUGAACCGGUAUCAUUAAUUAUAAGGUGGUUGCUAUGUGCUGAUCCCACCAGAUAUCACUGAUUACAAAGGGUGGUUGCUGUGUGCUGAAUCUACCGUGUAUCUGUUAUUAUUCCGAAGUGUUCAUCGGGAAAUUGACUAAGUGAAAAUACAUGAGAUCAUGUAACGAUUAAGUGUAAUUGAAUAAUGAAUAUGAAUGGAAUUGAAUUGAAUAUUGACUUGAAAAUGGCAAAGUGAAUUUUGAAUUGAAUAGUGAUUGAAAGUGAAAAAGUGAAAUUAUGAAAAAGUAGAAUUAGCAACAAAAUAGUUUAGGACAGCAAUAAUCAUGUGACUUUGAAAUAUCACCAAAAAUGGUGGAAAUAGAAUUAGAGAGUGAUUAAGAUAUGAAAUGAAAGCCUAGUGAGCCUAUUUUGAUAUAAAAGAAACAGAGCAAGCAAAAGAGUUAUAUAUUUUGAGAGAUUUGAAUUUUAGUGAGACAGGGAUGGAUUGAUUUUGGAAUCCCCUGUUCUAAUUUUGGAAAAAACAUUAAACAUUGUAAAAAAAUAAUUAUGAGUUGUAAUUUAUAUGCUUAGAAUCCUUAAUGAGUCUAUUUUCAAUAGAAACAAACUAGAACACCAUUUGAAUUUUGUACAAUGAGAUAAUUCAUUUUUAGUGAAGAGUGGUCAGAACUAUCAGACUGCGUAAUAGGGUAAACUUUAAAGAAUAAACUAUACUAUUUGGAUAAACCAAAAAUUCUAAAAAUUUUUAUGGUAAGAAGAUAUGUGAGUCUAGUUUCAUGGAAAAUUAACGGUUCUUAAUUUGGAGUUCUGUAACUCCAGAUAAAAAUAAUUUAGUGAUACUGACUCAGAUAGACAACUUUGAAUAUACAUAAGGGUGAAUAAAGAAACUGUAGAAAAUGUUAUUUCUAAGAGUGUUAAGUACACUAAGGAUGUGGAAUGGAGAAGAGGAGUAGGACAAUUAAAUAUAAUUGGUUAUAUGAUCGAUUAUAAUUGAUAAACGUGGAAAUAGAAGUGAUGCUUACAUUUGUAUAUUAUUGAUCAUGGUUUAAGCUCAUAUUGGAAAAUAAAGUUUCAUAGUAUGUAUGUAUGGUAUAUUUGGUAUAUGAUUUGGUAUAAAGUAAGGCCAUGAAUGGUAUAUGGAUUAAAUGCACUAGCUUGCGACUAAGGUUGAGUGUAAUGUUUAUAUCUUGUGUGAUAUGCAUAGGAAACGAGAGUGGAAAGGAAAUGAAAUACUAAGUUCAUGCUUGAAGUGUAAAAUGACGCAAAAAGGGGACGUUAAGUUAAACGAUAAAUAUGUAUUAGUAUUGAACUUAAUGAAAUUGAACUGUACGUGAAUUAAAUGGAAAUUACAAAUGAUUUGAUUUGAAUUAAAUGAAUUAUUGUGGUAUUGAAAUGUAUAUUGGAUUGAGAAAUUGAAUUGAAUCGUGAAUAUGAGAAUCAUGAAUUAAAUGAAAUGGAAAUGAAGUAUUGAAUUGCAUGAGUAUGUAUUGGGUCUCAGAAGUCCUAUUUGUUAUAAAUAUAGUAUUUUGAAGUUAUAACUCGGUUUAAAUUUGAAUGAAAUUUUAUAACUCGGUUUAACAUGUUUAUAAGUGUAUGUGUUCUAGAAAUGCCCCGUACCCUAUUUCGGUGUCCAAUAUGGGUAAGGGGUGUUACAGGUAUAAGGAAUGAUACAAGCAGAAAAAAAUGAAGGGACAUGACGGCUGAUGGACAAUUGCCAAAAGAGGCUUAAGUGGGAAUGUGCCAGUGGAACUGCUGGAUGAAUCCGGUAGUAAAACGUGAUGAAACCUUAAAUAAUUGUUUUUGUAUAUUAUUGUAUAUUCAAC